CAUUUAUUAUUAGCAUGACAAAAUUACUGGACGCUGAUUGGUUGAGAGGAGUACAAUUAUUUCAUUAAUUGUACUGCAGUACAAUUAAUGAUUUUCCCAAAACAAACAAAAUGGCGGAAGGGGAUUUUAAACACAGAUAUGAAAUGAAAUUGCUGUGAAGGAACUAGAUGAAAAUACGAACAAAAGCACCAAAUUUUUGCUUGAACAAAAGAACUAAAUGAAAAUACAAACAAAAACACCAAAUUUUGGUUGAAAGUCUG